rnacentral:lncRNA from 1 species
CGGUCGGCUGCUGGGAAGACGGAAUCGCUUACCUGGCUCGUUCCCGUACUUCUAUCCCAACAGACUGUGACACCCCGAGAUGUUAAAGCUGUCAACUUUUCUUUGUAAAUGUUUCUACCCAGGAAGACAGUAUGUCACCCACCAAGAAGCCUUCUGAGCGCAUUCCUCCGAAGCAGCAGAAGCGGGAAGGUUUGCAGGAAAUACAACAAUGGGUAUGCCUCCAGUAAUACUUUAUUCCUUUCUCCUUUAUCUACAGUUAUUUUUCAUAUUGUACAGUCUAUUGAGUUAGGUUCAGUGCCUGUCUCGGCCAAAAUAAUGCAACUUCAGUAAACCAAAAAAACCAAAAAACCAAAAAACCAAAAAACAAAAAAAACCCUCUGGAUUGCUUACCUUUGAUACGCCUGAGGAGAGGCAGGGGGUGUAUUGAACACGUGUGAGUAUGGGUGGUAAGGUGUCUUUUUCAAAGCCUGAAUUAGAUUUUGUCUAUACUCUGGGUCUAUGCACCACAAUGACCCUUUCCCAAUGCUCUGCAAAGAAAAUGAAAACAUAAAAAUGAUUAAUAGAAGAAACACCCAGGAUUCGGCAGCAAGUAGAUGAAUCACAAUUACCUCAGUUACUUAUUUUUAAGAGCCUCUCGCUUAUUUUUUGGCGUUUGCUAGCCAGAAAUACGGGAUAUCGUACCCUGACAAUCAGCACCAUAAAACGCACUUCAGCCUUACCUGGAUUAAGUCUGACAGACGAAAUGAACAUGUUAUUACCAGGUGAUGCUGAUACAAUAAUAUUGUAAUUUUCCUACCCUGCCGGCCCCCAAACUCAGACUCCUUUAUUAUUUCUCAGUGUCAACUCUGAAGGACGUAUGUAUUCUCUUCUAGAAAAUGAGUUUUAGAUUUGUCAGAUUUCAAAUGUGGAAAGCAAAAGAGGGCUGGGUACCUCAAGACUCCCAUCUCCACUAUAAAAAAAAAUGCGAGGGUUAUGUUUUCGAGCCAUAUUAUUUCGGUACCACUUCACAAAAAAAACAGAAAAGGAAUCGACUUGUUUUUUUCCUACUUACAAAAGAAUGACAUUUAAGCUUCCAAUGGAAUUCUGUAAUUACCUUCCCCAAGAAACAAAAGAACUCAGGCAGCAGCGGUUAAACCUAAGCCAGAAGCCAGUAGUUAUUUUCUGGAUGCCGCAGUUCAUAGACCUAAAGGAGUCGAAUCUUUACAAGUCCAACUUUAGAAUGCAAAUUUUCUAAAACUGGUUCCAUGGAAAGACUUGCUCUGAGGCCCACUUUUGGUCUGUGGACAGCAUUUUUAUUAAAAAAGAAAAGUUAAGUCCUUCCUGAGAGGCCCACUGAACUGGCAGUGUGGCGACAGGCAGUCGCUACUCCAACUGUAUGCUUUCAAAAGUGACCGAAUGUACCCAAGCGGUUUGAUAAGGUCGUUUGUAAAUAUUUACUGAUUUGGAGAGAAAAGAAGUCAAAUUACAUAAACCCGCGCCCACCCCAUGCUUGCAGCCAAGGGACUGACUCUCUUAUUUUCAGAACUAUUGUACUACAGGAACAUUCAGAAAGCAAACAAUAAAACUGUUUAACUAUUAGAGAGGGGAAAAACUCCAAGAAAAUCCCUUACAAGGAAAACAAAAAUUAAGUUAUUCCUAAAACCUUUCUUUUUCCUAAUGUUUUUUUUUUUUUUUUUUUAAUUUAUUUUUGAGACAGAGAGAGAGAGAGAGCAUGAGCAGGGAAGGGACAGGGAAAGAGAGGGAGACACAGAAGCCGAAGCAGGCUCCAGGCUCCGAGCUGUCAGCACAGAACCUGACACGGGGCUUGAACGCAUGAACCGUGAGGUCGUGACCUGAGCCGAAGUCGGACGCCCAACCGACUGAGCCACCCAGGCGCCCCUAUUCCUAAAAUCUUUAAAGAGGCUUUUAAAAAUUUGUAUUUCGGUCAUGAGUUCACCAAGUAGUUUACUCACAAACUUAUUCGCAGAACCCAUUAGAAUUCUUUACUAUCACAACAUCAGUGAGCAGUGGAUCUGGAAUUAACUCUUUCUGGUGCCCUAGGAACAGAGAAUUGCUCAAAGCCAAGAAGAGAAGGGGGGCUGGAGCCUCUGGUCACCCCACCCUCCGCGCCCAGGGUGCAGGCCUGAGCCCAAACACGGGUCCCAGUCAGGCCGACCAGCCUAAGCUGAACACCAACGUUCCAGUUUCACCAUCUGGAGGUCUAAAGACAUGAAAAAUGUCAACUUUGAAAAAUCCAACGUCCUUAAGUGGCCUUUCCUUCCAUGUGUACAUUUUCAAACCCGGAACAGUUUAGGGGCAUGGAUGAGACUUUCCCAGUAAAGCAGGCAGGCCACCAAAUGAGCUGCCAGGUUGGAAAAGAGAUGCAAAGCACACUUUCUAGAAGAGGGAGGGGCAGACCGGUAACUACCAAAUUUGGAUGACGUGAAACAAACCAAAAGCUAGUAACUCCUGGGCAGAUGGGGGGGUCCUGGCCUGAUUCCACCAAAGGCUCCCUGUGGAGCCCCGUGCAGUGAGCCCUGCAAGGCCCCUAACCAGCAACCUGGGGAGGCCAGGACCCUCGUGCAACCCAAACAUUUCUGCAACGGAGAUCAUCUCUGUUCUGGGAACCUAACUGCUUUUGUUUUCAUCAAACAAAAAAAAAAAUUGUUUUGUGGCUCUCAGGGUGGGGCCGUCUAUUCUUACAGGGAAUAAAAUUAUGACAAAGAAAUGGAGGACAACUGGCCCUCUUGGGCAAAUAACAAUAAGCCAAGAAUGUGGUUUCUCCUAACCCUGACCUAAGUAUCUUUUUUAUUACACUACAUUACUAUUUACCAACUACAUGGAAAAAACCCACAGGUGCCGGGAAGGGGGAGGUUGCAAGGUAAGUGAUCCAGGUGCAAGAAAGCAGGGGGAGGUACAGUCAGAACUAGGAAUUCUGCAGCCAGAGAGACGCUUCCUGUGUGGUCCUGGGAAAAUCAGGGUCCCCAGGAAGUCUUGGCUUCCUCCUUGGCAAAACAAAGACCCCCUCCGCCAGGGAUGGGUGUGAGGGCCAGCAAUGGCAUGAUGUAAACACCUGUAACAGGUGCCUAGAGGUACUCAAUAACGGUGGAUGACGUCACGAACGUCUCCUUUCUGACAGCAUAAAGGGAGCAAGGCUGGCUCGCCAAUGCCUUUUGCUAAAUCAAAUCUGACUUUCCCAAAGCCGACCCUCAUAAAAGCAGCACCAAGUUCCAAGUGGCAGUGGGAGGAGCCGCCAGCAGAUUCACAGGUACUGUUGGUCCGGGCUCAGCAAACCCACCCUGAAGAGCUCUUCUGCUUUCUACGAUGCUCCCUUUAUUUCCAUCCGUGCCCCCACCUGCCUUCUAUGCACCACCUGUUCUAUGUACUCGCUACCGUAACUCCUCCCAUGCUCAGAAAGCCAAUUCUGACUCACAGGAGCCUAGCUGCUAGAAGUUUUCUUUUACCCGGGUCUUAAGGGGUGACCACCAAGCCCAGGUUUAAUUUCAAGCUGGUCGGCACAUAUUUGCAACGUUCAUUCACUGCAGACGGUUGCCCAGGCUUUGGGUCAUAAUGAUUCCUCCCUUGAUCAGUUCUGCAUUUCACUGGGAGAGAGACGCGGGAUGGCUGAUUGGUUUUCACAGACCAGACGUGAAUGUCAAUAUCUCGUACUUAGAAUUUCCAAAGGGAGAAAAACAAACAACAAAAAAAGCAUCUUUGGGACACACCCAUGGGGACACUCAUCUGUCUACUCCAAUGACUGUAGAGCUUGAAAGGAACAGAAAGUGUCUGGCAUUGCAUCUCGUGCAAAUAUCCUCCUUGGUCUCACGUAACAGUUCAGAAGAGUAAAAAGGGUGACUUGAAAAAAAUUUUAAUGGAAAUAUGCACACAGAGAAAUACUCAAGUUUCUUAGGCCAGGAAAAAUUACAUUUAAUGUCCCUAACAGGGGAAAGGCAGCUGAAAUUUGAUCAUAGCUGUAUAAUACAUUUAGAGUCAGGGCUUUUACAGAAAUUUCUGCAUCCUCUCUGAAGAAUAGGGAUUUUUUUUUUUUUUGCUGUGACAACUGUGGGAGCCAUGCAUCAAUUAGGGUUAAGGAAUUCUAAAUAAUAAGAAAGAUCUUCAUUCAGAGACACAUUUUUGUGUAUAUGCAUUCUUUAAGAUGACAUUUAUAUACCUACGUGUAUAUAGAGAGGAAAAUGUCUCCGAAUGAAGAUCUUUCAUACACACACAUAUAUAGCUCGAAAAAAACUAACGUGAAAAAGUAGAGGGAAAAAAAAUAGAGUACGAAGAUACAGAUGAGGCCAAGUUUUGUUUUUUAAUUAAAAAGCACCUGGAGAAUAAUAGACAUCUCCCUGUUAGCAAUAAAAAACACAUCAGUACCCAAGAAGAAAAAAAGACAAGAGCCUGUAUCGUAGAAAGAACUGAUUAGUUAGAAAGGUUAAAAAAGAGAGAGAGAGAUAAGAACAACAACUAAAUUAAGUCUUAAAUCUAACUUCUAAAGAUAACAUUUUCUCCGAGAUGUCUCUAGCAGCUCGUGAAUCUGUCCCCCGCCCCCAUCCCCACCCACUCCCGCUACAGUAAUUUGGACCUGCACACAGCACUUGUCUGUCUGUCUGCCUUACAUACGGGUCUUCAUCUGUGGGCUCUGCACUAGGUUGUGAAUCCCUGAGGAUAAGUACCAAAUUUUAAAGAUUAUUUUCAAACUGUGGGCUGUCACAUUAAUAGGUCCUGAAAUCGACGUAACAGGUCACCACCAGCAUUGUGUUAAUGGAACAGAACAGAACCAAACAGAUCAGACUAGAAAACAUGUGUAGUAAAGUGGUAUUUUGUGAAAUGGGCAUGUGUCUAUGCAUGGAGCACAACAGAUCACAAGGUAACAUACACUUCUUACUUGGAUUCUGGGUCAAAGAAGUAUGGUCAACACUGGUCUAGGACAACAAUUCCCCCCACUCCCCCCCCCCCCCCCCCCGCGCCCAUGCCCCCUUCUCAUUAUUUCUGAGGGAUAAAGCCCGCUUCCAGCAGUAAUGCAGGACUCUCCCAUGACAGCCAAUGCAGAGGAGAGGAGCCGUCCUUGGGAAAGGGAGAUCAUAAGGCGGGAGCCAUGUCAAUUUGGAGCAGGGAGCUGGAUAGAUGUUCUCGGUGCAUUUGAAAUGAUUCUUCUUGAUGUUUCUGAUACGCCAUUUCCGAGGGUGUUUCCAACACCACCUACCCUUGUUCAUUCCCUCCUCCAUACGGCACCCACUCCACGCCAGGUGCCAUGGGGGUCACACUAGUGACUACACACAAUGCAAAAAGGUGCUACUCUCUUGAAGCUUGGAUUCAAGUAAGACAGCAAGUAAGGAAGUGAAGAGAUAAAUAAGCAAGAUCAUACAGACAGACCGUAAUGCUUGCCGUGAAGGAAAUAACGAGCAAUGGGUCUGAAGACUGGAACUUGCCACCAUAGGAAGAAUAAAUGGGUUGGAAGGUCUGUUAUGAGCUGAUGCCACAGCCUGGGCCUGAAGUGGCCAGGUGGCAGCAGAGGAGGAGGAGAAAGAAGGACAGCUUCAGGAUGUAUUCUGGAGAACCACCUGGUCCUGGCAAUGGAUUAGAAGUGGCAGGUAAAGAGGAAAGAAGAAGAAUGGUUCAGUUUGUGCAACGAAUUGGGUCAAAGAUCGGGAGGGGGAAAAUCUGGUGCUCAUCUGAACAUAUAACCUUUGACCUGUCUAUGAAUUAAGAACAGCUGAUCGCGGUACUCGAAUGACGUUGCUGGACGCCCAUUACCUCUCUUCCCUCUGUUGUAGACCCACUGACCAUUCCCCCCCCCACCCCCCGUUUAUAGCAAAAGCUCAGUGAUGUAGAAAGGUAGAUCUACGGCGGGCUGCCUUUCAAGGUUUAACAUCAACUGAUUUUCUACAGCUGAUUCUUCUACAGCAGGGGCCGGUCAGAGGAAAUGUGUUAGUCGUUGAAGGCCACGCAGUCUCUGUUGCAACUACUCAACUCUGCCGUUGUCCAACAAAAGCAACCACAGACUGUGGCAACCGCAGAUGUGGCUGUGCUUCCGUAAGACUUGAUUUAUAAAAACACAACCCACCGUUCACCGGCCCCUGUCCCACCGCUCCUAUACUCGAACCCAGGGCUCAGACUCUAAACUCCUGAAGCUGUGGGAACCGAAAACCAGGUGAGGAGUCUUCAGGGGCUAGGAGAGGUGGGCUGGUGCUGUGGGAUGGGGGAGGGGGAAGUCAAGAGCUUGAAGGCAGGAAAGGGGGUCACGCGGAGGGCGGGGGAGGAGGAGGUGCAGAUGGGCUAAGUCACGACACGAAUACAACUCGUUGAGCCGACACAGCUCCCUCUGAUUCUCUGGGUCUCAGUUUCUCCUCUUUAAAGUAGAUGGUCAGACUCAGUCAUCCCACAGGCUCAUACCCUUAAUGCUGUGAGAAUGUGUUGCUACAGACUCGUUAGUGGACACGGGCCUUCAUCUCUCUGUCUCCUUCCUGGCGUUUUACUCACUUGUAGCUUUUAUAAACGGGGAGCCCCCAGAGUUGACAUUUGUCACCCAGUUGCCAUUCUAACCCAACAUGAACAAAGUUGUCCUGGGAUCUGAAGGCGGGCUUAAAAAUCGUCUGGAAACAGCUUCUGCUGUAUGUAGCCUCCCUAGAGCUGGUCCCAGGGCACAAGAAUGUUUCCACCCCUCACCCCCCCCCACCCCUGCCACUCCUCCUCUACUCUGGAGCUGACUCCUGUGCAGGCUCCUCAGGGACAGGCUGGCAUAAAGAAGGGAGAGAAAGGAGGGGGAGGCUAGUGGAGGACCGGCAGGUGCUGCUACUCUCCUGGUUGCAAGUUCCCUCCUUCCCCAGAAAAGCCAUCCUUGGCCCCUAGACAAGGCCGAAUCCAGACUUGAACAGGUCACAAACCUGGCCCAACUUCCCUGGGCCUAAUCAAAGAAUCCCCCUUGGGCCUUUGGCUCUCAUUCUGAAGCAGGUCAUUUGACACUUGGGAUCAUGAUACACCAUGACAUAAAGACAGGGUCCACUUUUUAGGGUGCAGGACCCCCCCCCACCAGAGGAAGACAAACAAUAAACAACUCUGGAAGACUGCGUAAGCUAACCCAAGGGCUACAGGACAACAGAGGAGAAAGAGGAGCCCCCCCCACACAGUCCUAGGUCAGCCCCUCCCGCAGACCCACUCAAGUGCACAACACACACACACACACACACACACACACACAGUCCUCGACCAGCCCCUCCUGCAGACCCACUCAAUGCUCACACCCCCUGUGCAGGGCAGCCCCCCAGCAGAACACGCAGCCUCUCAGAGACGGUUCUCACCUUCCCACCAAGCCCCCUACACAGUCUCUCUCCCUUGCGUUCGCACUUCCUGGGCCUGUCGAGAUGGUGAAAGACAAAUACGCCCAUGUGCCCGUGAGAGGGGCCAGAAGCAAUGCCAGGGCUUUCCUGGGGAGCAUUCCAGAAUGCAUCCCACACGUGGCUCCGAAUCAACUGAGGGAUUGAACCUGUACGGUUCUUGUCUACACUGCUACCCUGCUGUGUUACUGGAUAUAAACCACUUGUCCUCUCAGACUGGCAGCUUUUUCACCUCCACAUUAGAGGUAAUACUAUCUUCUCCGAGUCACGUUGGGCCUAAAUGUGGUCAUGCGUAGAAUGUACCUAACACUGUACCCAGUACUUAAAAGCCAGUUAAUCAAUUCAAUUCUCCUCUCUGUCAAAGGAAGUCACAGGAGAAGCCGGGUGAUACUAAAAAAAGAGACAGAGAGAGAACAGAGAAAAGUUAUGCUAACAGAUGACCAUGACCUCGUACCCCACCAAAAUGCUUGGCAAAUGAGUGAUUCGUAGAGGCCCUUUUUGUUCUAAAAUUCUGUCGUUUAUAAUCUAAAGACAUCAAGGGGGAUUUUUAAAUUUUAAAAUACGAAGCAAAUGAUCUGAGGAACUAGCCCAGUACAUGAAAGAGAGAGGCAGAAAGAGAAAGAACAAAACUAAUCACGGAGAAUUUUUAUCCAGAGAGAUGGCUGUUCAUUUCCCACAACAAAACAGACCACUGCUCCGGAAGAAAGAUUUUUUUUUUUAACGUUUAUUUAUUUCUGAGACAGAGAGAGACAGAGCAUGAACAGGGGAGGGGCACAGAGAGAGGGAGACACAGAAUCGGAAGCAGGCUCCAGGCUCUGAGCCAUCAGCACAGAGCCCGACGCGGGGCUCGAACUCACAGAGCACGAGAUCGUGACCUGAGCCACCCAGGCGCCCCAGGAAGAAAGAUUUUAAAAAGAGAAGUCACGUCAGACACUUGGAUCUCCCUAACAACUUUGCAGCGUUGUCCUGGUUUAAAUGCCCCACUGCGUUCUCCCCUCUCCCUCUCUCUCCCCCCCCCCCCAAAGGAAGAGGGAUGAAAAAAGAGAAAUUACACCCCUGGUCCAGACAGAAGUUUCUCUCAACCCACCCCCUGUGCCUCAGUCCUGCUCCACCCCGAGGGGGGGCGGGGGGGGGGAGCCCCUGCAGGCAGGGAGGGCAGACCCCGAGGGCUUCGAGGACCGUGCCAGCCUACUGGCAUCAGGAGCUGGAAACAGAGCCGCUGAUGGUCACAGCCACCGAA